AUUCUGACUCGGAGGAACACAUUUCUCCUCCCAAGGAUCAGCAUCAUCAUUCUUCCUCGGAGGAACACAUUUCUCCUCCGAAAGAGUGUCAUCGCAGAGUCUGCCCACAUGGCUGGCCCAGAUACAAGACACACUGCUAUCACUACGUCCCCCUCGUGACCACAUGGCCAGAGGCAGAGAGGAAAUGUUUGCUCUUGGGAGGUAAUCUGGCAUCAGUGCACAGCCUUCCCCAGUAUCGUUUUCUUCAGUCUGUCAUCAAGAAGAGUACCAAGAAAGCGCAGCGCACCUGGAUUGGAGCCAACGAU